rnacentral:ncRNA from 1 species
AAAAAGUUUUAUUUUAGCUUAAAGGUUAAUUAUUAUUUUUAAUUAUAUGUAAAUUUUGUUAGAGAAUAGGGUGCAGUAUUUAGUAUUAUUUAUUUAAGAAAUUAAGAAUUAGAAAUAAGGGGUAGUAUAAACUAAAUUUGUGCCAGCAGUUGCGGUUAUACAAAUUAUACAAAUUAAUUUUAUUAAUUUUAAUUAAUUGGAAUUAAAUUUUAAAAUUAAAUUUAUUUGGUGAAAUUGUAAAUUUAAAAUAAAAUUUAAAUUUGGUAAUUAUGUUAAGAAAUUUCAUUUAUAAACUAGGAUUAGAUACCCUAUUAUUUGAAAGGUGAUUUAUUUAUUAAAUUAGUAUUAGUUAUGAUCUUGAAAAUUAAAAAUUUUGGCGGUGUUUUAAUCUAUUCAGAGGAACCUGUUCUAUAAAUGAUAGUCCACGAUUUUAUUUACUUUUAUUAUUAAUUUAUAUAUCGUCGUUAUUUAAAUAUUUUUGUAGGAUUAUAAUAUUUAAAAUUUUUUAUAAAAAAAUAUUUCAGAUCAAGGUAUAGUGAAUAUAAGAGAAGAAAUGGGUUACAAUAAAUAUAUUUUAGGAUUUUUAUUUUUAAAGUAUUUUGAAUUUGGAUUUGAUUGUAAUUUUGAUUAAUUUAUUAAAGUGAUUUUAGCUCUAAAACAUGUACAUAUUGCCCGUCGCUUUCAUUUAAUAUGAAAUAAGUCGUAACAAAGUAGUUUUACUGGAAAGUGAAUCUAGAAACAA